rnacentral:lncRNA from 10 species
GUCAGGGUCCAGGCAGAGAAUCCUGCCCUGGCAGUGGCUGUCAAGGCCCUGCCUUAAUCUCUCAGGUAGGCAAGCAGCUGCUUCCUCCUGACUGCAGGGCAGGGCGGAGCUGCCAGCCCAGUGUUUCUGGCCCACUCAGGGCCUUUCUUUUCUUACAAAGACUGCUGUGUUGGAUCUGUUUUUCUAAGUCAGAUAGUUAUUUGAUUUCCACCUCAGAACUCAGUGCCAGCAUUCAGUGUUGCCAGCCUCACCGCCACCGGCCAUGGUGCGAGAAGGAAUUCGGGUUCCUGGAACAUGGUCAGAGAAUGCACUCCUUGAUUCAGGUGUGAGCCACUGUGCCCCGCCACGAAAACCCUGGGCUCUUGGAUUCAGCCAUAUCUGGAACUUCAACUACAGGAACCAGCACAUUGCCUUUUUACUUAAAUGAGUUCCAUGUAACAAAAAGAGACUUGACCAGUGUGGAGCCACAUCCUUCACUUGACGCUCGAAGUCAAGGCCCUGUGUGAUCUCCUCACCUCACACUACUGUUUUCCUCCUCCCAGGGAUCCAUCAAUGGAGAACUUCUUUUAGUUUUGUUUUGUUUUUUUUUUUUAGAUGGAGUCUCACUCUGUCACCCAGGCUGGAGUGCAGUGGCGUGAUCUCAGCUCACUGCAACCUCUGCCUCCCGGGUUCAAGCAAUUCUCUGCCUCAGCCUCCCAAGUAGCUGGGAUUACAGGUGCCCGCCAUCAUGUCCAGAUAAUUUUUGUAUUUUUAGUAGAGACAGGGUUUCACCAUCUUGGCCAGGCUGGUCUUGAACUUCUGACCUCGUGAUCCACCCGCCUCGGCCUCCCAAAGUGCUGGGAUUACAGGCGUGAGCCACCGUGCCCGGCGUUCUUUUAGUUCUUCAAGCAGGCCAGGCUCCUUCUUAUCUCAUGGCCUCCUCACAUGUUGUUCUUAGCUAAUUCCUAUACAUCCUUCAGCUGUCUGCAUGUAGGUCAUGUCUUUAGAAAAGGCUUCCCUGACUGCCUGACUAGGCCAGGGUCCCCCUACAAUCCUCCUCUCCAAUAUAAACUCCUGCAGCACCAAUGCUUUUCCUUCUCAGCACUCAUUGCAGUAGUAACGAAUACAUUCUUUGUUCACGAGAUAAUUCCUUAUUUACAGUCCAUCUUCACCACUGGACUAUACGCUUCAUGAAGUUAAGGACCAUUUGUCUUUUUAAAAUUUUUAUUUCUUUUGAGACAGUCUCAUUCUGUUGUUCAGGCUGGAGUUCAGUGGUACAAUCAUGACUCACUGCAACCUCCACCUCCUGGGCUCAAGCAAUCCUCCUGCCUCAGCCUCCUGAGUAGCUGGGACUGCAGGUGUGCACUACCACAUCUGGCUAGUUUUAUUUUUUGUAGAGAUAGGGUCUCACUAUGUUUCUCAGGCUGGUCUUGAACUCCUGGGCUCAAGUGAUCCUCCUGCCUCAGUCUCCCAAAGUGCUGGGAUUAGCAGCAUGAGAGACCACGCCUGGCCACGACCAUUUAUGUUGAUCAUCCUUAUGUACUCAGUGCCUAGCACAGUGCUUGGCACAAAAUAGGUGCUCAGUAAACAUUUGUCAAAUGAAAAAAAAAUGAACGAUUGAAUGUUUGACUUGGAAACCCAUGCCUUCGAUCUCCACAGGCUUUGUAAUCUAAUACACAAACACAGGCAAUCCUGAUUCAUAACGUGACCACAGAAGGUUCCCUGGGGUGGUAGAGAGCCUCAUGCAUGAUUUAGUCAGGUAUUUUGAGCUGGGAUUCUGUCUGACCAGGCCAGAGUGGACCUUGCUCCCAGGAGAUGGCAGUGUUGUGCAGUCUCUGACUCAUCAAGGCUCCCACACUGACUUCCCUGAGACCCUGGAAGCUAUCGAGCUGGACCUUGACCUCUCAAGCCGUGGACGCCAAGUCCCAGGGCCAGGUUUUUAAAGGAGCUGUGUGUUCAAAGCAGCUGAGAAGCAGAGCCUUUGUUCCAGAGACUGGCAGUCCCCCAAUCCAAGAUAAACAACCCUCCUCCCCAACUCGAAUGAUGGAUCUGGUUUGGUGUUCUGUUCAAGAACUCUCUUUCCAAGAGUGGCUCAAAGGCUCCUUUGCAGCUUUUAAAUUUUACAAUCUCUUAGGAGAGAAGACCCAGGCCACAGAGUUGCUACCUCCUGGUGCUUUGGAAGAUUCUCCCUAUUCAUACUUUCUCUCAAAUCCCACAGCUGCUACUUGCUGUGAGUGCAGACUAGCACAACCACCAACACGGACCCACAGGUAGACCAUCCUGUUCAGAUCCUGGCUCUGUCACUUACCGUGUGACUUAGGACAAAGCCCUUACCUUUUCUCAAUAAAAAGAAUAGUAAUACCUAUUUCUCAGGCUUGUGCUGAAUGAUUAAUCAAACAGUGCCUGGCACUGUGCACCUGGCACUGUGCCUGGAGCAUAGUGGGUGCUUAGUAAACAUCGGUUCCCUUCCCUCUCCCCCUCCCACACUGCGCUGCUGAAGGAGCUGGGGGAGGGAAUGUGAGAAAGCCUCCGCAGCAGGAUUUCACUAGCAAAUGUCUAAAAACAACAACCUUCUUCUCUUCCCUGGAGCA